AUGGCUUCUGAAACUUUUGGCUAAUAUCAAUCAAAUCUAGCAUCUGUUCUUAUCAGUCUAAUAUUGACAUGUGGACAUGUCCUCUAUCCUAGGAUCAUAUAUUAAGUGGAUUUUUGGAGCUAGGAGUUGGAAUGGGAGCUUGUUCCAUACACUCCACUCAGGUCCUCUAGGAAUAGUGCACCAUAC